rnacentral:rRNA from 1 species
UACAUAUGGGGCAAGCGUUGUUCGGAAUUACUGGGCAUAAAGGGUGCGUAGGUGGUCUAUUAAGUCAGGGGUGAAAUCCCGCGGCCCAACCGUGGAACGGCCUUGAUACUGAUGGACUUGAGUGCGUGAGGGUAGGGGGAACGAGCAGUGUAGCGGUGAAAUGCGUAGAUAUUGCUCGGAAGGCCAGAGCCGAAGGGGCCCUACUGGACGUAACUGACACUGAGGCACGAAAGCGUGGGGAGCAACAGG